CCUCAGUAUGAUAAUUCUUUCAUCUGUUUGUUCCCCGUUUCUUCUCUAGCCUGAGCCUGACACACUAUUCAAGCUAGACAUGGAUGUGGCUCGUAACACCUGAUGACCAAACGGAUCUACGGCACCAUCGAAUCCCAAACUUUAACUGCCAAAACUAUUGUUUUUCAUCCUGUAGUCCCUUUUAGAAUUACUAAACGUCCUUUUUUGGGCCGAGAUUUCCAGGAAUGCUUUCUCGGGGUUUGUGUGCAAGUAUUUCAAACCAUACAAAGCUAGAAAUUAGAAGUCAUUCCAUCUUUAUUAUCGUAGAGCCUUCCAGCAGUUCCUAAACCGGUCUAGUCGGAGCACGUUAUCAUUCUAGUUAGUUCUGAGUGAAUUCCCUCGGUAUGAUAAUUCUUUCAUCAGUUUGUUCCCCGUUUCUUCUCUAGCCUGAGCCUGACAAACUAUUCUAGCUAGACAUGCGUGUGGCUCGUAACACCUGAUGACCAAACGGAUCUAUAGCACCAUCGAAUCUCAAACUUUAACUGCCAAAACUAUUGUUUUCAUCCUGUAGUCCCUUUUAGAAUUACUAAACUUCCUUUUUUGGGCCGAGAUUUAGAGGAACGCUUUCUGGGGUUUGUGUGCAAGUAUUUCAAACCAUACAGACCUAAAAAUUAGAAGUCAUUCCAUCUUUAUUCCCCUAGAGCCUUCCAGCAGUUCCUAAACCGCUCUAGUCGGAGCACGUUAUCAUUAUUGUUAGUUCUGAGUGAAUUCCCUCGGUAUGAUAAUUCUUUCAUCAGUUUGUUCCCUGUUUCUUCUCUAUCCUGAGCCUGACACACUAUUCUAGCUAGACAUGGGUGUGGCUCGUAACACCUGAUGACUAAAUGGAUCGACGGCACCAUCGAAUCUCAAACUUUAACUGCCAAAACUAUUGUUUUUCAUCCUGUAGUCCCAUUUAGAAUUAGUAAACGUCCUUUUUUGGGCCGAGAUUUAGAGGAACGCUUUCUCGGGGUUUGUGUGCAAGUAUUUCAAACCAUACGGACCUAAAAAUUAGAAGUCAUUCCAUCUUUAUUCCCCUAGUCAUCAGGUAUACACUCAAGUCGGAGCACGUUAUCAUUCUUGUUAGUUCUGAGUGAAUUCCCUCGGUAUGAUAAUUCUUUCAUAAAUUUGUUCCCCGUUUCUUAUAUGGCCUGAGCCUGACACACUAUUCUAGCUAGACAUGGGUGUGGCUCGUAACACCUGAUGACCAAACGGAUCUACGGCACCAUCAAAUCUCAAACUUUAACUGCCAAAACUAUUCUUUUUCAUUCUGUAGUCCCUUCUAGAAUUACUAAACGUCCUUUUUUGGGCCGAGAUUUCCAGGAACGCUUUCUCGGGGUUUGUGUGCAUGUAUUUCAAACCAUACAGACCUAAAAAUUAUAAGUCAUUCCAUCUUUAUUCCCGUAGAGCCUUCCAGUAGUUCCUAAACCGCUCCAGUCGGAGCAUGUUAUCAUUCUUGUUAGUUCUAAGUGAAUUCCCUCGGUAUGAUAAUUCUUUCAUCAGUUUGUUCCCCGUUUCUUCUCUAGCCUGAGCCUGGCACACUAGUCUAGCUAGACAUGGGUGUGGCUCGUAACACCCGAUGACUAAAUGGAUCGACGGCACCAUCGAAUCUCAAACUUUAACUGCCAAAACUAUUGUUUUUCAUCCUGUAGUCCCAUUUAGAAUUACUAAACGUCCUUUUUUGGGCCGAGAUUUAGAGGAACGCUUUCUCGUGGUUUGUGUGCAAGAAUUUCAAACCAUACGGACCUAAAAAUUAGAAGUCAUUCCAUCUUUAUUCCCCUAGAGCCUUCCAGUAGUUCCUAAACCGCUCUAGUCGGAGCACGUUAUCAUUCUUGUUAGUUCUGAGAGAAUUCCCUCGGUAUGAUAAUUCUUUUAUCAGUUUGUUCCCCGUUUCUUCUCUAGCCUGAGCCCGACACACUAUUCUAGCUAGACAUGGGUGUGGCUCGUAACACCUGAUGACCAAACGGAUCUACGGCACCAUCGAAUCUCAAACUUUAACUGCCAAAACUAUUGUUUUUCAUCCUGUAGUCCCUUUUAGAAUUACUAAAUGUCCUUUUUUGGGCCGAGAUUUCCAGGAACGCUUUCUCAGGGUUUGUGUGCAAGUAAUUCAAACCAUACGGACCUAAAAAUUAGAAGUCAUUCCAUCUUUAUUCCCCUAGAGCCUUCCAGCAGUUCCUAAACCGCUCAAGUCAGUGCACGUUAUCAUUCUUGUUAGUUCUAAGUGAAUUCCCUCGGUAUGAUAAUUUGUUCAUCAGUUUGUUCCCCGUUUCUUCUCUAGCCUGAGCCUGACACACUAUUCUAGCUAGACAUGGGUGUGGCUCGUAACACCUGAUGACCAAACGGAUCUACGACACCAUCGAAUCUCAAACUUUAACUACCAAAACUAUUGUUUUUCAUCCUCUAGUCCCUUUUAGAAUUACUAAACGUCCUUUUUUGGGCCGAGAUUUCCAGGAACGCUUUCUCGGGGUUUGUGUGCAUGUAUUUCAAACCAUACAGACCUAAAAAUUAGAAGUCAUUCCAUCUUUAUUCCCGUAGAGCCUUCCAGCAGUUCCUAAACCGCUCCAGUCGGAGCAUGUUAUCAUUCUUGUUUGUUCUGAGUGAAUUCCCUCGGUAUGAUAAUUCUAUCAUCAGUUUGUUCCCCGUUUCUUCUCUAGCCUGAGCCUGGCAAACUAUUCUAGCUAGACAUGGGUGUGGCUCGUAACACCUGAUGACCAAACGGAUCUACGACACCAUCGAAUCUCAAACUUUAACUACCAAAACUAUUGUUUUUCAUUCUAUAGUCCCUUCUAGAAUUUCUAAACGUCCUUUUUUGGGCCGAGAUUUCCAGGAAUGCUUUCUCGGGGUUUGUGUGCAAGUAUUUCAAAUCAUACGGACCUAAAAAUUAGAAGUCAUUCCAUCUUUAUUCCCCUAGAGCCUUCCAGUAGUUCCUAAACCGCUCCAGUCGGAGCACGUUAUCAUUCUUGUUAGUUCAUAGUGAAUUCCCUCGGUAUGAUAAUUCUUUCAUCAGUUUGUUCCCCGUUUCUUCUCUAGCCUGAGCCUGGCACAGUAUUCUAGCUAGACAUGGGUGUGGUCGUAACACCUGAUGACUAAAUGGAUCGACGGCACCAUCGAAUCUCAAACUUUAACUGCCAAAACUAUUGUUUUUCAUCCUGUAAUCCCAUUUAGAAUUACUAAACGUCCUUUUUUGGGCCGAGAUUUAGAGGAACGCUUUGUUGGGGUUUGUGUGCAAGUAUUUCAAACCAUACGGACCUAAAAAUUAGAACUCAUUCCAUAUUUAUUCCCCUUGAGCCUUCCAGCAGUUCCUAAACCGCUCUAGUCGGAGCACGUUAUCAUUCUUGUUAGUUCUAAGAGAAUUCCCUCGGUAUGAUAAUUCUUUUAUCAGUUUGUUCCCCGUUUCUUCUCUAGACUGGGCCCGACACACUAUUCUAGCUAGACAUGGGUGUGGCUCGUAACACCUGAUGACCAAACGGAUCUACGGCACCAUCGAAUCUCAAACUUCAACUGCCAAAACUAUUGUUUUUCAUCCUGUAGUCCCUUUUAGAAUUACUAAACGUCCUUUUUUGGGCCGAGAUUUCCAGGAACGCUUUCUCGGGGUUUGUGUGCAAGUAUUUCAAACCAUACGGACCUAAAAAUUAGAAGUCAUUCCAUCUUUAUUCCCGUAGAGCCAUCCAGCAGUUCCUAAACCGCUCCAGUCGGAGCACGUUAUCAUUCUUGUUAGUUCUGAGUGAAUUCCCUCGGUAUGAUAAUUCUUUCAUCAGUUUGUUCCCCGUUUCUUCUCUAGCCUGAGCCUGACAAACUAUUAUAGCUAGACAUGGGUGUGGCUCGUAACACCUGAUGACCAAACGGAUCUAUGGCACCAUCGAAUCUCAAACUUUAACUGCCAAAACUAUUGUUUUUCAUCCUGUAGUCCCUUUUAGAAUUACUAAACGCCCUUCUUUGGGACGAGAUUUCCAGGAACGCUUUCUCGGGGUUUGUGUGAAAGUAAUUCAAACCAUACGGACCUAAAAAUUAGAAGUCAUUCCAUCUUUAUUCCCGUGGAGCCUUCCAGUAGUUCCUAAACCGCUCCAGUCGGAGCACGUUAUCAUUCUUGUUAGUUCUGAGUGAAUUCCCUCGGUAUGAUAAUUCUUUCAUCAGUUUGUUCCCUGUUUCUUCUCUAGCCUGAGCCUGGCACACUAUUCUAGCUAGACAUGGGUGUGGCUCGUAACACCUGAUGACUAAACUGAUCAAUGACACCAUCGAAUCUCAAACUUUAACUGCCAAAACUAUUGUUUUUCAUCCUGUAGUCCCAUUUAGAAUUACUAAACGUCCUUUUUUGGGCCGAGAUUUCCAGGAACGCUUACUCGGGGUUUGUGUGCAAGUAUUUCAAACCAUACUGACCUAAAAAUUAGAAGUCAAUCCAUCUUUAUUCCCCUAGAGCCUUCCAGCAGUUCCUAAACCGCUCCAGUCGGAGCACGUUAUCAUUCUUGUUAGUUCUGAGUGAAUUCCCUCGGUAUGAUAAUUCUUUCAUCAGUUUGUUCCUUGUUUCUUCUCUAGCCUGAACCUGACACACUAUUCUAGCUAGACAUGGGUGUGGCUCGUAACACCUGAUGACCAAACGGAUCUACGGCACCAUCGAAUCUCAAACUUUAACUGCCAAAACUAUUAUUUUUAAUCCUCUAGUCCCAUUUAGAAUUACUAAACGUCCUUUUUUGGGCCGAGAUUUAGAGGAACGCUUUCAUGCGGUUUGUGUGCAAGUAUUUCAAACCAUACGGACCUAAAAAUUAGAAGUCAUUCCAUCUUUAUUCCCCUAGAGCCUUCCAGCAGUUCCUAAACCGCUCCAGUCGGAGCAUGUUAUCAUUCUUGUUAGUUCUGAGUGAAUUCCCUCGGUAUGAUAAUUCUUUCAUCAGUUUGUGGCCCGUUUCUUCUCUAGCCUGAGCCUGACACACUAUUCUAGCUAGACGUGGGUGUGGCUCGUAACACCUGAUGACCAAACGGAUCUACGGCACCAUCGAAUCUCAAACUUUAAGUGCCAAAACUAUUAUUUUUAAUCCUGUAGUCCCAUUUAGAAUUACAAAAAUGUCCUUUUUUGGGCUGAGAUUUCCAGGAACGCUUUCGUGCGGUUUGUGUGCAAGUAUUUCAAACCAUACAGACCAAAAAAUUAGAAGUCAUUCCAUCUUUAUUCCCUU
rnacentral:lncRNA from 1 species